AGCUAGUUGGCGGGGUAACGGCCCACAAGGCGACGAUGACUAGGGGAUCUGAGAGGAUGGCCUUCACACUGGUACUGAGACACGGACCAGACUCCUACGGGAGGCAGCAGUAAGGAAUAUUGGUCAAUGGAGGCAACUCUGAACCAGCCAUGCCGCGUGCAGGAAGACUGCCCUAUGGGUUGUAAACUGCUUUUAUCCGGGAAUAAACCUUUCUACGUGUAGGAAGCUGAAUGUACCGGAAGAAUAAGGAUCGGCUAACUCCGUGCCAGCAGCCGCGGUAAUACGGAGGAUCCAAGCGUUAUCCGGAUUUAUUGGGUUUAAAGGGUGCGUAGGCGGCCUGUUAAGUCAGGGGUGAAAGACGGUAGCUCAACUAUCGCAGUGCCCUUGAUACUGAUGGGCUUGAAUGGACUAGAGGUAGGCGGAAUGAGACAAGUAGCGGUGAAAUGCAUAGAUAUGUCUCAGAACACCGAUUGCGAAGGCAGCUUACUAUGGUCUUAUUGACGCUGAGGCACGAAAGCGUGGGGAUCAAACAGGAUUAGAUACCCUGGUAGUCCACGCCCUAAACGAUGAACACUCGCUGUUGGCGAUACACAGUCAGCGGCUAAGCGAAAGCGUUAAGUGUUCCACCUGGGGAGUACGCCCGCAGGGUGAAACUCAAGGAAUUGACGGGGCCCGCACAGCGAGAGCAUGUGGUUAUUCGAUGAUACGCGAGGACUUACCGGCUUGAAGUAGUGACGUACUAGAGAUAGU
rnacentral:rRNA from 1 species